rnacentral:piRNA from 1 species
UCCAGGAACCUGGCGGUGAAGGAGGCC